CCUACGGGAGGCAGCAGUGGGGGAUAUUGCACAAUGGGGGGAACCCUGAUGCAGCGACGCCGCGUGGGUGAAGGAGCGUUUCGGCGCGUAAAGCCCUAUCGGCAGGGAAGAAGGAGGACGGUACCUGACUAAGAAGCCCCGGCUAACUACGUGCCAGCAGCCGCGGUAAUACGUAGGGGGCAAGCGUUAUCCGGAUUUACUGGGUGUAAAGGGGGCGCAGACGGCAGCGCAAGCCAGGAGUGAAAGCCCGGGGCCCAACCCCGGGACUGCUCUUGGAACUGCGCGGCUGGAGUGCAGGAGGGGCAGGCGGAAUUCCUGGUGUAGCGGUGAAAUGCGUAGAUAUCAGGAGGAACACCGGUGGCGAAGGCGGCCUGCUGGACUGCGACUGACGUUGAGGCCCGAAAGCGUGGGGAGCGAACAGGAUUAGAUACCCCUGUAGUC
rnacentral:rRNA from 1 species